AUUCCAGCAUUUGUCCUUACUGACCAACCUUUUGGGGUUCAUCCAAUUUUAUUUCUUAAUCUUAUUUAAGUCAAUUUAUGGUCUUAUUACAUAUGAAAAACAACAACUCAUUCCAUCAACACUUUCAAGUGACAACAAGAUUGUGUUCCUUUUCUGUAAUGCAUACAAUUCUCUUCCCAUAAUUAAUCUUUCUUUUGUUUUCAUGGGUCUAAAUAUUAAAUCCAGGUACAAUGACAUUGCUAAGUAUGGUUUUGAAGCCGCACAGAACUCUGGUCCUGUGAAAGUGAUCCUGUGGGAGAGGAAGAGAAAUUAACCUUGCAAAAUACAGGUCAUGUUCGAAGACGUGAUGGCCUGGGAGAGCUCAUGAUUGUAAUAGGAGAGCAGUUGUAUUCUAUACUUCUUUUAAGCUUCUUCUUCAUAGAGGUACAAGUGGAACCUUCAUAAUUCAGAUCUGGACAAACGGCUGAACUUUUUUGAAUCUAACUGGGCAUUCUUUUUAGGUUUUGGUAAACUACUUUCUAACUUUAUUAUUGUUUUUGAGUCAGUUUGUCAUAUAUAUAAUUUUCAAUUUCUGCAGGUUAGGAGUGGUUUAUUUAACAUGAGAAUUCAUACUACUUGUUUCACAUGGUUUCUAUUUUAUUGUUUGAUCAAUAAUUGUGACCUCAAUUUUAAAUUGGUAACUUCUAAGUUAUGUGGCCUUCCUAUGUGAA